GGCAUCUGUGAGAAGUAUUUUAUGUUACCUUUAGUCGAUCAUUAAACACAGCUAGAGUUUGGAUUCGAACUCAAAACUUCUUCGAUAGGUAUAGUUGUAAAUGUGGAGUUCUUCCCCUUAGAUAAGCCUUUUUUUUUUUUUUUUUAAAUUAAUAUAUUGCUGGUUUAAUCUAUAGAGUCUUUGAACUAAUACAGCACAGCACACGCAAUGGCGGCUCUAGUAUUUGGACACACUUUACCACACGACCGCAUUUCUGACGUCACAUCCGGCAGAAGACAUCAUAUUCUCUAAAUAUUCUUCAUUGAGACGUCAGCCAUAUCUCUCAUGGAAUUUAAUCUGAGCAUAAGGUGAUCAGGUGACCUUGACCCAGAUGAAGGAAAAUUUGAUCACGAUUUUCACGAGCAGUGAAACUGACCUAUGAAUGACAUCCAAACAUUGUACUCAUAAUCCACAAUAAGAAGAGAACAAACUGGACCAUAAACUCAUAGAAACAGAGAAAGAAACAUCCAUAUAAGAAAGACACGUUGCUGUGAGUCCCUUAUAAGAUGUUUACCUUAUCUUCCAGAGCUGACGUAACCCUCGUUAAGUCAAGACGACUGAGCCAGCUAAUGGACAAGACUUAAGCAGGAGGACACAACUCAUAGAUGUACAGAGGUCUACUGAGGUGUACAGAGGUCUACUGUGGUCUAGCAUUGUAAGUAUACGUAAUAGAAAGGAGAAUACUUUUAGACUAGAUAGCAGUAACAUCUCUCUCGACAAGACAGUAACGCCACGAUCAUUACGAGAAAGGAUAAUUGGGGUGAAUGAAUUGAUGAACCAGAACCGAAGUGUCUAGAUUGUUUAAAAGAGAUCCAUCCCAUUCUCGAAAACAUAAUCGUUAAAGUACAAGUCAGUUCAAUUUUCAAGACCAAUU